CACUCAAUGUGCAUACUGGGAACCAAACGCAGGCCCUCUAGAAGAGCAAGCUCUCUUGACUUCUGGGCCAUCUCUCCAGCCCUUUAGCAGUUUGUGUGGGAAACUGAUGAAACCUCGGUGGCAAGUUAGUCAGAUUAGCUGUCAACAAGUGUGACGGUUUGCAUAUACUUUGUGCAAGGAGUGUCACUAUUAGAAGGUGUGGCCCUGUUGGAGUAGGUGUGUCACUGUGGGUGUGGCCUUUAAGACCCUCAUCCUAGCUGCCUGGUAUUCUGCUAGCAGCCUUCAGAUGAAGAUGUUGAACUCUCAGCUCCUCCUUCACCAUGCCUGCCUGGAUGAUGCCAUGUUCCUGCCUUGAUGAUACUGGACUGAACCUCUGAACCUGACUGAGUCACUGGAGCAUCUAUCUGCACGCUGCGGUUUCGACUUUCCCCCAAGUGCAUAGCGGUAUGUCAUCUGAGAG
ensembl:processed_transcript 1810059H22Rik RIKEN cDNA 1810059H22 gene